rnacentral:rRNA from 1 species
UACGUAGGGCGCGAGCGUUGUCCGGAAUUAUUGGGCGUAAAGAGCUCGUAGGUGGCUUGUCGCGUCUGCCGUGAAAGCCCGUGGCUUAACUACGGGUCUGCGGUGGAUACGGGCAGGCUAGAGGCUGGUAGGGGCAAGCGGAAUUCCUGGUGUAGCGGUGAAAUGCGCAGAUAUCAGGAGGAACACCGGUGGCGAAGGCGGCUUGCUGGGCCAGUUCUGACGCUGAGACGCGAAAGCGUGGGGAGCGAACAGG